rnacentral:rRNA from 1 species
UACGAAGGGGGGCUAGCGUUGUUCGGAAUUACUGGGCGUAAAGGGCGCGUAGGCGGCGUGUCAAGUCAGGCGUGAAAGCCCCGGGCUCAACCUGGGAACCGCGCUUGAGACUGGCAUGCUCGAGUUCGGGAGAGGAUGGUGGAAUUCCCCAGUGUAGAGGUGAAAUUCGUAGAUAUUGGGGAAGAACACCGAUGGCGAAGGCAGCCAUCUGGACCGACACUGACGCUGAGGCGCGAAAGCGUGGGGAGCAAACAGG